rnacentral:misc_RNA from 1 species
AAGGGAAGCGGAGCCCAGCCUUCAGCUGUUCUUCGUACACCAUAAUGAGAUCGUUCUCAUCAAAGAAGUGAUCGACCCGAUGAUCGCCAUGGCAUUUGAUCAGUUCAAAGGAGUCGAUCCGCAGAUUGUACUCCUGACUUAUGGAUUGGAGAUCGGUUUCCCUCAGGACUGACGGCAGCUCAUCAACUGGCAGGUUUUCCCUUCUCGAAGAGGUUCCUCGCUUCGGUCUGAAAGCCGGACCAGUAACCGGA